rnacentral:rRNA from 1 species
GACAGAGGUGCCGAGCGUUAGGCGGAAUCACUGGGCUUAAAGCGUGUGUAGGCGGGUCGUUAAGUGUCUUGUGAAAUCCCACCGCUCACCGGUGGAACGGCUGGGCAUACUGGCGACCUUGAGAGGCCUAGGGGCAGACGGAACAAGCGGUGGAGCGGUGAAAUGCGUAGAUAUCGGGAGGAACACCAGUGGCGAAGGCGGGCACCUGGGCUAACACUGACGCUGGUGCGCGAAAGCUAGGGGAGCAAACAGG